GACGAACGCUGGCGGCGUGCUUAACACAUGCAAGUCGAACGGAAAGGCCCUGCUUUUGUGGGGUGCUCGAGUGGCGAACGGGUGAGUAACACGUGAGUAACCUGCCCUUGACUUUGGGAUAACUUCAGGAAACUGGGGCUAAUACCGGAUAGGAGCUCCUGCUGCAUGGUGGGGGUUGGAAAGUUUCGGCGGUUGGGGAUGGACUCGCGGCUUAUCAGCUUGUUGGUGGGGUAGUGGCUUACCAAGGCUUUGACGGGUAGCCGGCCUGAGAGGUUGAACGGCCACAUUGGGACUGAGAUACGGCCCAGACUCCUACGGGAGGCAGCAGUGGGGAAUAUUGCACAAUGGGCGGAAGCCUGAUGCAGCAACGCCGCGUGCGGGAUGACGGCCUUCGGGUUGUAAACCGCUUUCGCCUGUGACGAAGCGUGAGUGACGGUAAUGGGUAAAGAAGCACCGGCUAACUACGUG
rnacentral:rRNA from 1 species